CCCAGCUGUCCUUCAGGAGCCGAGCCCGCCUCCAGAGUGACCUUCCUCAGCGGACACGCCCCGUCCACCUGUUCCACAGGUGCGCCCGGCAAGAUGGCGGCGGGACGAGUUUCUGCGGCGUUAGGUGACAAAAGGAUUUAAAGAAGGGGCCUCCUGUUAUAAAAAGGGUUUUUCAAAGUUCUGCGGCUCCUGCUCCUCUGCGCUCCGACGAUCUCCUCUCCAGCAACUCCUUGUGACAAAGGAUUUCAAGAACGCGCCUGCAGUUAUGAAAGUUGUUUUUCCCCCGGGUUCUGCGGCUCCUGCUCCUCGGCGAUCCGAAGAUCUCCUCUCCAGCUCCGCUCCAGCAACUCUUUGUUCGUUGGCAAGUUAUUCUUGACUAUGUGCUUUUCCUUGAAUUUCAUUUUUUGACUCCAGUGGCUUGAUCUGUAAUGUACCGACUCAUCUUUCCCUUGAUGUAUUGACAUUCUUAACUUGCAUGUUUCCUGCUGACUGCUGCUACU